GCCCCACCGGGCCCCGCCCCCACGUGGCCGGGGGUCGCGCCCCUCGGAGGCCGGCGGUCUGCGCCUCGCUGGGCUGCGCCCACGUGGGUCCCGGGCGGCGGACCCCACACCCGGACAGAGCCCGCGGCCUCCUGCCCCUCCCGGGCCGGGGGAGACCUCCCUCUCGCCGUCCGCGAUGCUACCACGUGUCCAUCUUUGAAAAAAACGAGCGCCUAUCUGAACCCCCCCAGGAGCAGAGGCUGCAUUUGAGUGUGUAACGCGCAGCUCCAAGGCAGAUGCCUGAUGACCAGCUUUCUCCCUCCUGGAACUCAUUCACUCAAAGGUCAUGCCUUUCUCAAUCAGUCAUAUCUUCAGGGGAUUGAUUGACUCCAGGACCCCCAGGAUAUCAAAAGUCACUGGAGUCCCUUUUAUAAAGUGGCAUAGAGUGGUCAGCCCAUAUCCGCAGUUACCCGCAGUCAUGGAUUCAACCAACCAAGGAUGGAUCCAUCUUCAGCUUGGCUUUUCUCCUGAGCCCCAGGGUCAUUUCCCCCAAAUGCCAGUUGGAUGUUGAAUCUCACCAUGUUAAAAGGAAGAAGUGUGCGUCAGUUCUGAGAAGAGCCAAGAAAGAAGAGCCUGUGAAAUGGUGGCUUUUGUUUGGCUGACAAGUCUAAAGGGAUUGGGAGCUCCAGAGGGAGAGACUGGCUGGUGAAGGGGAGAAGGCCCUGUGGUGACCGCAGUUAGGUUGUGUAGACUCAGAGGUGAUUAUGCUGCUAGGGUUAGUCAUGCCAAAGAGUGAGAGCUUCCUGGUAAAACACAGAGAGAGCAGCCGGUAACUUGAGUUCCAUCCUGCGCCACCAAAACACAAGCUAAUAUGAUGGCCUUGGAAAGCAAGUGUUCUCAAGGCACAUACAUCCCUGCUCGGCUAACAGCCUGAGUUAACAGGCUUCCCAGUCAAUGGGGGAAACACAUCUCUCCUGGGACAGUGCCGUGGCCAGGAACUCUGCAAGUGUCUCUAAGGACUCCGGGUCCCUGGGAUGUGCCUUUGGAAACCCAGCCUCCAGCCAGGCUUGGCCUCCAGCUAGAGGCUUAGUGGUCAGCUGUGAAGAACAAAUGGACACCAGCAAUUCCUUCCCAGGGACCCGAGUGUCCAUGUGCACCCCCGUCACGCGUGGCACAGAGUGGCAUUUCUCGUUGGCCAAGUAAACACACCCAGUUC
ensembl:lncRNA